ensembl:lncRNA
GCCCAGACGCGUCGAUUUGGAUGAACGCCAAAUUCAGCCUGAAAUCUGAAAAAGCUGAAAUCUCGCCGAAUGAGAUCACGCUGAAGUACGCCAGACCCCCGGAUCUGUUUGAGGUGUUUGUGGAGAAUGCAGAGGAGAGCAUCGAUCUGCAGUUGAUCAGUGACGGUGACACCAUAUGGCAAGCAACAUUACGACGGGUCGAUUACAGUGAGCCCAGCGAUGUUGCAGGAAGUUCACUCAGGGUCUCUGCAGCCUACCUUCUCAUCCCAACAACAGCCAACAUAGAGACCCCACCGAGGGGCAGAACAACCGGCCGCUCAGAGCAGAGAAGGGAUGGAAAACACACAGAGCGAGUGUCCAUGGUUCAGAAGGAUCUCAUUAACAGAGG